rnacentral:rRNA from 1 species
UACGGAGGGUGCAAGCGUUAUCCGGAUUCACUGGGUUUAAAGGGUGCGUAGGUGGGCUAGUAAGUCCGUGGUGAAAUCUCCAAGCUUAACUUGGAAACUGCCGUGGAUACUAUUAGUCUUGAAUAUUGUGGAGGUAAGCGGAAUAUGUCAUGUAGCGGUGAGAUGCUUAGAUAUGACAUAGAACACCGAUAGCGAAGGCAGCUUGCUACACAAUCAUUGACACUGAGGCACGAAAGCGUGGGGAUCAAACAGG